GAUCAUGGCUCAGAACGAACGCUGGCGGCGCGUUUAAGCAUGCAAGUCGAGCGGCAAGGGCCUUCGGGCCCCUAGAGCGGCGGACGGGUGAGUAACACGUGGACAAUCUGCCCCCCGGCCCGGGAUAGCCCAGGGAAACCUGGAUUAAUACCGGAUGAGACGGGACCCGCGAUGGCGGGAUCCGGGAAAGGCGCUGCGGCGCCGCCGGGGGAUGAGUCUGCGUCCCAUUAGCUAGACGGCGGGGUAACGGCCCACCGUGGCGACGAUGGGUAGCCGGCCUGAGAGGGUGGACGGCCACAUUGGAACUGAGACACGGUCCAGACUCCUACGGGAGGCAGCAGCUAAGAAUCUUCCGCAAUGGGCGAAAGCCUGACGGAGCGACGCCGCGUGAACGAAGAAGGCCGUGAGGUUGUAAAGUUCUUUUCGGGAGGGGGAACAACCGUGGCAGGGAAUGGCCGCGGGAUGACGUGAAUCCCGGAAUAAGCCCCGGCUAACUACGUGCCAGCAGCAGC
rnacentral:rRNA from 1 species